GCGGACGUAGCUCAGCUGGUAGAGCGCAACCUUGCCAAGGUUGAGGUCGCGAGUUCGAACCUCGUCGUCCGCUCC
rnacentral:tRNA from 1 species